ACGAACGCUGGCGGCGUGCUUAACCCCUGCCAGUCGCACGGAAAGGCCCUGCUUUUGUGGGGUGCUCGAGUGGCGAACGGGUGAGUAACACGUGAGUAACCUGCCCUUGACUUUGGGAUAACUUCAGGAAACUGGGGCUAAUACCGGAUAGGAGCUCCUGCUGCAUGGUGGGGGUUGGAAAGUUUCGGCGGUUGGGGAUGGACUCGCGGCUUAUCAGCUUGUUGGUGGGGUAGUGGCUUACCAAGGCUUUGACGGGUAGCCGGCCUGAGAGGGUGACCGGCCCCAUGGGGACUGGGAUACGGCCCAGCCCCCUACGGGGGGCAGCGGGGGGGAAUAUUGCACAAGGGGGGGAAGCCGGAUGCAGCAACCCCGGGGGGGGGAUGACGGCCUUCGGGUGGUAAACCGUUUUCGCCUGUGACGAAGGGUGGGGGAGGGGAAUGGGGAAAAAAGCACCGGCAAACUACGU
rnacentral:rRNA from 1 species